rnacentral:rRNA from 1 species
ACAGGUGGUGCAUGGUUGUCGUCAGCUCGUGUCGUGAGAUGUUGGGUUAAGUCCCGCAACGAGCGCAACCCUCGACCUUAGCUGCCAGCAUUCAGUUGGGCACUCUAAGGUGACUGCCGGCUAAAAGUCGGAGGAAGGUGGGGAUGACGUCAAAUCAUCAUGCCCCUUAUGACCUGGGCUACACACGUGCUACAAUGGGCGGUACAAAGGGUCGCGAACCCGCGAGGGGGAGCCAAUCCCAAAAAGCCGCUCUCAGUUCGGAUUGCAGGCUGCAACUCGCCUGCAUGAAGCCGGAAUCGCUAGUAAUCGCGGAUCAGCAUGCCGCGGUGAAUACGUUCCCGGGCCUU